AUUGCACGCUGGCGGCAGGCCUAACACAUGCAAGUCGAGCGGAGCGGCGGACGGGCGAGUAAUUCCUAGGAAUCUGCCUGGUAGUGGGGGAUAACGUCAGGAAACGGGCGCUAAUACCGCAUACUAUCAGAAGAGUAUAGGUCGGAUUAGCUAGUGGGUGGGGUAAAGGCCUACCAAGGCGACGAUCCGUACAUGGUCUGAGAGGAGGAUCAGUCACACUGGAACUGAGAAAGGGACCAGACUCCUGCGGGAGGCAGCAGUGGGGAAUAUUGGACAAUGGGCGAAAGCCUGAUACAACCGUGCCGCGUGUGUGGAGAAGGUCUUUGGAUUGUAAAGCACUUUAAGUGGGGAGGCGUUACCAACAGAAUAAGCACCGGCUAACUGCGUGCCAGCAGCCGAGGUAAUAC
rnacentral:rRNA from 1 species